UUUGAUUUUAGAUUAAUACUUAAAAUUCAAAGAGUUUAACAUUUAUUAUCAGCCCCCUCUGACCACUUUUCUUUCUUUCUUUUUUUUUUUUUGAAACCUCCAGGUAACCUGUGAUGGGAGCAAGCUCAUCCUCAGAAGCCUCAAGGCAGAGUGUUCCUCCUGAGUCUUUUCAGGACUAAAAUCAGCCAGUGAGAUAAUGGACUCCAGGAAGGAAGUAAACAAAUUAUAGAGGAACAACACAAUUCCUUAGAGCUGGUUGGCAGCCUGGAUUCUACACCCCACACUUGGUGUACUCUGCAUGAAAAAAUUUAAGGAGGGGACUUCUGCCAAGAUGGCUGAAUAGGAACAUCUCCAAUGUGCAGUUACCAGAGAGAGCAAGCAAGAAACAGGUGACUGUGUCCAGCCCACACUCAAAAGGAGGCAAUUGCACAAUGAUGUAAAUAAUAGGAGACUGACCAGGAUAAUGGAAACUGCCUAUCACUUAUCUGGCAUCUAUUCACUUACAACUGUGGGGAUUUCUU
rnacentral:lncRNA from 13 species